rnacentral:rRNA from 1 species
AUUGAACGCUGGCGGCAUGCCUUACACAUGCAAGUCGAACGGUAACAGGUCUUCGGAUGCUGACGAGUGGCGGACGGGUGAGUAAUACAUCGGUACGUGCCCGAGAGUGGGGGAUAACGAGGCGAAAGCUUUGCUAAUACCGCAUACGAUCCCAGGAUGAAAGCAGGGGACCGCAAGGCCUUGCGCUCACGGAGCGGCCGAUGGCAGAUUAGGUAGUUGGUGGGAUAAAAGCUUACCAAGCCGACGAUCUGUAGCUGGUCUGAGAGGACGACCAGCCACACUGGGACUGAGACACGGCCCAGACUCCUACGGGAGGCAGCAGUGGGGAAUUUUGGACAAUGGGCGCAAGCCUGAUCCAGCCAUGCCGCGUGCAGGAUGAAGGCCUUCGGGUUGUAAACUGCUUUUGUACGGAACGAAAAGACUCCUUCUAAUAAAGGGGGUCCAUGACGGUACCGUAAGAAUAAGCACCGGCUAACUACGUGCCAGCCGCCGCAGUAACAC